rnacentral:rRNA from 1 species
GAUUAAGUUAUUAAGGGCGCACGGUGGAUGCCUUGGCACUAGAAGCCGAUGAAGGACGUUACUAACGACGAUAUGCUUUGGGGAGCUGUAAGUAAGCUUUGAUCCAGAGAUUUCCGAAUGGGGAAACCCAGCAUGAGUUAUGUCAUGUUAUCGAUAUGUGAAUACAUAGCAUAUCAGAAGGCACACCCGGAGAACUGAAACAUCUUAGUACCCGGAGGAAGAGAAAGAAAAUUCGAUUCCCUUAGUAGCGGCGAGCGAAACGGGAAGAGCCCAAACCAACAAGCUUGCUUGUUGGGGUUGUAGGACACUCUAUACGGAGUUACAAAGGACGACAUUAGACGAAUCAUCUGGAAAGAUGAAUCAAAGAAGGUAAUAAUCCUGUAGUCGAAAAUGUUGUCUCUCUUGAGUGGAUCCUGAGUACGACGGAGCACGUGAAAUUCCGUCGGAAUCUGGGAGGACCAUCUCCUAAGGCUAAAUACUCUCUAGUGACCGAUAGUGAACCAGUACCGUGAGGGAAAGGUGAAAAGCACCCCGGAAGGGGAGUGAAAUAGAACCUGAAACCGUGUGCUUACAAGUAGUCAGAGCCCGUUAAUGGGUGAUGGCGUGCCUUUUGUAGAAUGAACCGGCGAGUUACGAUUUGAUGCAAGGUUAAGCAGUAAAUGUGGAGCCGUAGCGAAAGCGAGUCUGAAUAGGGCGUUUAGUAUUUGGUCGUAGACCCGAAACCAGGUGAUCUACCCUUGGUCAGGUUGAAGUUCAGGUAACACUGAAUGGAGGACCGAACCGACUUACGUUGAAAAGUGAGCGGAUGAACUGAGGGUAGCGGAGAAAUUCCAAUCGAACCUGGAGAUAGCUGGUUCUCUCCGAAAUAGCUUUAGGGCUAGCCUCAAGUGAUGAUUAUUGGAGGUAGAGCACUGUUUGGACGAGGGGCCCCUCUCGGGUUACCGAAUUCAGACAAACUCCGAAUGCCAAUUAAUUUAACUUGGGAGUCAGAACAUGGGUGAUAAGGUCCGUGUUCGAAAGGGAAACAGCCCAGACCACCAGCUAAGGUCCCAAAAUAUAUGUUAAGUGGAAAAGGAUGUGGCGUUGCCCAGACAACUAGGAUGUUGGCUUAGAAGCAGCCAUCAUUUAAAGAGUGCGUAAUAGCUCACUAGUCGAGUGACACUGCGCCGAAAAUGUACCGGGGCUAAACAUAUUACCGAAGCUGUGGAUUGUCCUUUGGACAAUGGUAGGAGAGCGUUCUAAGGGCGUUGAAGCAUGAUCGCAAGGACAUGUGGAGCGCUUAGAAGUGAGAAUGCCGGUGUGAGUAGCGAAAGACGGGUGAGAAUCCCGUCCACCGAUUGACUAAGGUUUCCAGAGGAAGGCUCGUCCGCUCUGGGUUAGUCGGGUCCUAAGCUGAGGCCGACAGGCGUAGGCGAUGGAUAACAGGUUGAUAUUCCUGUACCACCUAUAAUCGUUUUAAUCGAUGGGGGGACGCAGUAGGAUAGGCGAAGCGUGCGAUUGGAUUGCACGUCUAAGCAGUAAGGCUGAGUAUUAGGCAAAUCCGGUACUCGUUAAGGCUGAGCUGUGAUGGGGAGAAGACAUUGUGUCUUCGAGUCGUUGAUUUCACACUGCCGAGAAAAGCCUCUAGAUAGAAAAUAGGUGCCCGUACCGCAAACCGACACAGGUAGUCAAGAUGAGAAUUCUAAGGUGAGCGAGCGAACUCUCGUUAAGGAACUCGGCAAAAUGACCCCGUAACUUCGGGAGAAGGGGUGCUCUUUAGGGUUAACGCCCAGAAGAGCCGCAGUGAAUAGGCCCAAGCGACUGUUUAUCAAAAACACAGGUCUCUGCUAAACCGUAAGGUGAUGUAUAGGGGCUGACGCCUGCCCGGUGCUGGAAGGUUAAGAGGAGUGGUUAGCUUCUGCGAAGCUACGAAUCGAAGCCCCAGUAAACGGCGGCCGUAACUAUAACGGUCCUAAGGUAGCGAAAUUCCUUGUCGGGUAAGUUCCGACCCGCACGAAAGGCGUAACGAUUUGGGCACUGUCUCAACGAGAGACUCGGUGAAAUCAUAGUACCUGUGAAGAUGCAGGUUACCCGCGACAGGACGGAAAGACCCCGUGGAGCUUUACUGUAGCCUGAUAUUGAAAUUCGGCACAGCUUGUACAGGAUAGGUAGGAGCCUUUGAAACGUGAGCGCUAGCUUACGUGGAGGCGCUGGUGGGAUACUACCCUAGCUGUGUUGGCUUUCUAACCCGCACCACUUAUCGUGGU